AGUCGCCCUGGGCAGGCAGUGGAAGGUGGGGCCGUGCUGCCUCUGGUGCGCAGAGGCAGAGGCCGCCAUUGACCACCGAAUCGGCUUGGCUAGAACUCAAAGCCUUGUGCCUGGCGGUCAGUCCCUACCUCACCACGUUGACACAGACUGUGUGGCUUUCAGUGUACCUUUCCACGUAUUUUCCUGUCCUGUCAGAUGAGAAGAGGGAACAGUCUGAGAGAACCACGAAACUGCCAAACCCAGUGAGCCCGAAUAUUCCUUCAAGAUUUCAAGAAAGCCGACCUUGAGGACGGCCACGGGGCCAACUGCAGUAUGAACAAGUCGUUCUUGUAGUUGCACAGAUGGCCAUUGACAAAAACAGCCCUGCUUGGGUGACUCCUGAGCCCUGAUACCCGAAUGAGUAUGAUCAACCGGUGAUGGACCUGGAUCCGGCUGUGGGAGUGUCCUGAUGAGCCCUGGGCCAGCGGAGCAAAAUCCCCCUAUUCUCCUGAAUUUAAUGGAGCAGAGGAGCUGAGUGUUUGGAAAUAUGAAGCACCUGAAGCCAUGAGAACCACAAAGGCUGAAGAUUGCACCCGCUACCCACAUCAGUCAAAUAGCACUGAUUCCAUAGCACUUCUCUCUCCUGCUGCCAUGUGAAGAAGCAUGUGUUUGCUUCCCCUUCCACCAUGAUUGUCAGUUUCCUGAAGUCUCCUCAGCCAUGUGGAACUAAUUCCCGGGCGUUUCCAAGAUGGCCAAAUAGGAACAGCUCCAGUCUAUGGCUCCCAGCAUGAGCGACACAGAAGACGGGUGAUUUCUGCAUUUCCAACUGAGAUGGAGUUUCUCUCUUGUAACCAGGCUGGAGUGCAAUGACACGAUCUCAGCUCACUGCAGUUUUCGUCUUCUGGGUUCAAGCAAUUCUCCUUCCUCAGCCCCCUAAGUAGCUGGUGGUGCCCACCACCAUGCCCAGAGGCAGAAUCACACUAUGUUGCCCAGGCUGUUCCUGUAAUGACCUCAAGUGAGCCUCCCAUCUUGUCCUCCCGAAGUGUUGAGAUUACAGGAAUGAGCUAACAUUGCAUGGCCCAAUCUUGUUUUUCUAGUUUUAAUUUAUUUCUGCUCAUUGUUAUUUUUCAUUCUUCUGCUUAUUUUGUAUUGAAUUUUCUCUUCUUUUUCUAGUUUUGUAAGGUGAAAGUUUAGAUCAUUGAUUUGAGACUUUUCUUUUUAUCAAUUAUAAGCAUUUAAUGUUCUAAAGUUCCUUAUAAGUACAUCUGUAUACCACAAAUUGGUAAGUCGUAUUUUCCGUUUCAUUUGGUUAAAUAUUUUUAACUUUCCAUUGAGGUUUCUUCUUAGAAGAAACACUUCUUAGAAGUGUUUUGUUCAAUUUACAAAUAUGUGAUGGUUUGCCAAAUUGUUUUUUGUUAUUGAUUUGUAAUUUAAUUCAGUUGUAGUUAGAGAACAUGUUUGGUAUGAUUUCAAUCCAUUUAAAUACACUGCUUGCUUGUUUUAUAGCUCAGAAUACGUUCUAUCUUGGUGCCUGAUCCAUGUACACUUACCAAAAACGUGUGUCCUGCUGUUUUUGAAAGCAGUAUUCUCCGAAGUCAGUUAGGUCAGAUUGGUUAACUGUGUUUUUCAAGUGUUUUAUCUCCUUACUAAUUUUGGUCUUGUUCAGUAAAUUACUGAAAGACA